UCCUGGGUAGCUCAGUUGGUAGAGCUUGAGACUUUUAAUCUAAGUGUAUUGGGUUUGAGCCCCACGUUGGGGA
rnacentral:tRNA from 1 species